rnacentral:rRNA from 1 species
UACGAAGGGGGCUAGCGUUGCUCGGAAUUACUGGGCGUAAAGCGCACGUAGGCGGAUUGUUAAGUCGGGGGUGAAAUCCUGGAGCUCAACUCCAGAACUGCCUUCGAUACUGGCGAUCUCGAGUUCGGGAGAGGUGAGUGGAACUGCGAGUGUAGAGGUGAAAUUCGUAGAUAUUCGCAAGAACACCAGUGGCGAAGGCGGCUCACUGGCCCGAUACUGACGCUGAGGUGCGAAAGCGUGGGGAGCAAACAGA